AUACGUAGGUGGCAAGCGUUGUCCGGAAUUAUUGGGCGUAAAGCGCAUGUAGGCGGUUUGGUAAGUCGGUAGUGAAAAUGCGGUGCUUAACGCCGUAUGGGGAUUGAAACUGCUGAACUUGGGUGCAGGUGAGGAAAGGGGAACUCCCAGGGUAGCGGGGAAAUGCGUAGAUAUUGGGAAGAACACCGGUGGCGAAGGCGCCUUUCUGGACUGUGUCUGACGCUCAGAUGCGAAAGCCAGGGUAGCGAACGGGAUUAGAUACCCCGGUAGUCCUGGCCGUAAACGAUGGGUACUAGGUGUGGGAGGUAUCGACUCCUUCCGUGCCGGAGUUAACGCAAUAAGUACCCCGCCUGGGGAGUACGGCCGCAAGGCUUAAACUCAAAGGAAUUGACGGGG
rnacentral:rRNA from 1 species